UACGAAGGGUGCAAGCGUUACUCGGAAUUACUGGGCGUAAAGCGUGCGUAGGUGGUUUGUUAAGUCUGAUGUGAAAGCCCUGGGCUCAACCUGGGAAUUGCAUUGGAUACUGGCAGGCUAGAGUGCGGUAGAGGAUGGCGGAAUUCCCGGUGUAGCAGUGAAAUGCGUAGAGAUCGGGAGGAACAUCUGUGGCGAAGGCGGCCAUCGUGGACCAGCACUGACACUGAGGCACGAAAGCGUGGGGAGCAAACAGGG
rnacentral:rRNA from 1 species